rnacentral:rRNA from 1 species
GACGCCCAACACACAAAACAAGCGGUGAAUGCUUUGGGGUGGGGUGACUGCGUACCUUUUGUAUAAUGGGUCAGCGACUUAUAUUCUGUAGCAAGGUUAACCGAAUAGGGGAGCCGGAGGGAAACCGAGUCUUAAUUGGGCGUUAAGUUGCAGGGUAUAGACCCGAAACCCGGUGAUCUAGCCAUGGGCAGGUUGAAGGUUGGGUAACACUAACUGGAGGACCGAACCGACUAAUGUUGAAAAAUUAGCGGAUGACCUGUGGCUGGGGGUGAAAGGCCAAUCAAACCGGGAGAUAGCUGGUUCUCCCCGAAAGCUAUUUAGGUAGCGCCUCGUGAAUUCAUCUCCGGGGGUAGAGCACUGUUUCGGCUAGGGGGCCAUCCCGGCUUACCAACCCGAUGCAAACUGCGAAUACCGGAGAAUGUUAUCACGGGAGACACACGGCGGGUGCUAACGUCCGUCGUGAAGAGGGAAACAACCCAGACCGCCAGCUAAGGUCCCAAAGUCAUGGUUAAGUGGGAAACGAUGUGGGAAGGCCCAGACAGCCAGGAUGUUGGCUUAGAAGCAGCCAUCAUUUAAAGAAAGCGUAAUAGCUCACUGGUCGAGUCGGCCUGCGCG